CCUUCAUGGAAAAUACAUUGUCGGUUAAAGGAGGCGAUGAAUUUCAUGGGAGAGUUGAAUUUAAUCAGUAAACUUUGGUGAUUGUAUCGUUGGAUUUGCAGCCUGACGCCACAGUGUUAAUUUACAAUUUGUAUUCAACAUAAUAGCUACAUUGCUCGACUUUAGCAUUUUCCUUCGUAAAUGAACACUGGCGAAGAUAAAAUUGAAGAUCUUCGUGGGGAGAUGGGCGAUAAAAUGAAACGACGAAUUAGUUGGAGGAGAUGCCAUAAACCUACGAAUUAUUUCAAAACGAGCUGCGACAACUCGAUCCUAAGAAUUUUUUAAUUCUGCAACUGACGAAUUUCGUCGAUCGAAGAUGAUUGAACUACUAAUUGGUCGUUGGACGAACGUAUUAAAAAAUUUCAGAAAUUUCGCGGAUGAAAUAGGCGAUAUUUUAAAGGAACAACAGGCAGAUUAAAUAAGAAAGGUUUCACGUGCAUCGAUCUAAUAUUUAAAUUUAUCGCGAAAGAACGCAUUACACGUGGAUCGAAGCUUUAAAAAUUGCCGAUACUUCAGGAUGAGAGCAAGUGAAUUACAGUGAAGUUCUGACGCGUAUAAAUGGAAUGACAAAGGAUAAAGGAAUUCAUAGAUAGGAACAUUAACAAUAUUUCAAUGUCAGCUGCUUCUUUUUCAGACAAACACUAUAUUUCUUCGUCGUGCGCCAGAAUAAUACAAUGAACGAGCGAUGCAUAGCGAGUAUCCGGUGUAAGUUAGAGGAAUAAAUCGAAAAGUAUAUUGUCAUUCAAAGCAACAUUUAAAUCCGCCGUACUUUUGUAAAAAGCUUGCCACGAGUAUACAAUAACGUUCACGUCUCGUACAUUUCGAGUAGACACAGGCUGGCCGACAAGAACGUCGCGAAACAUAGAUUCGUCUAUUCUUCUCCAUUUUCUCUCACAUUUUGUCGCACACCUACGCAUUAAAGGGGUGUCUUGAAUUAGAAUGUUCUGUCUUUUUGUGAUUUUUUUUU
rnacentral:misc_RNA from 1 species